GGCUGGAUCAUUAUCGAGCUUAGAGCAAAAACACUUUCGACAGUGUUUCGUGGUCGAAGAAUUUUUCCCGGUGCAUUUGUUUGAUGCACGACUCUGGGGGACCACAAUUACUAACGGCUGACGCUGGUGUCUGGCCCCAUGCGGAGUGGAUGUCGUCCUGACUGCCGUGUCCACUGAGAUGCAGGGGUGUUGCGCAUACGUCCAGCUCGUUCUGGGUAGCGGAUGCGAAGACUCAAUGAGGCCACGGACUGGGCCCGCCAGCAAAAACCCUUUUUUUUCAACGAUUUUCUCUAUGAAAAAGACUGUGAAAUAUCAGCCUUACCGGUGGAUCACUCGGCUCGUGGAUCGAUGAAGAACGCAGCUAACUGCGAUAAGUAGCGUGAAUUGCAGACGCUUUGAACGUUAAACUUUCGAACGCACAUUGCGCCGUAGGAGUCCUAUCCUGCGGCACAUCUGGUUGAGGGUCGUGAUCAAUAACAGCACGGACUGAAGCUGUUAGUUAUCCGAUAUUGGUGAAUCACUAGUCCGGCCACUCGUACUCGAGUCGGAAGUGUUUCGCCAUCUCAUGACCACUUAGAGGACGAUCGAGCCUUCCUUCCUUCCUUCCGUCCGUCUUCCCUUCUUGAUUUUGGGGGUAGAUUAUGAUGGAGGAGGAGAGAGGGCUCUCGCCUUGCCAUGCGUAAUGGGCUGUACGGCUUGAGGACUAUUAUUGCCUCGGCCUUAUGGUAUUUUGCAAACUAUACCAUGGGUGAGUCGAGGUACAAGCUGACAGUUGAUAAUCCCAUACGUACUUGGUAUUGAAAGCAAAUAUUCGCUUUCCCGACCUCAACUCA
rnacentral:rRNA from 1 species